rnacentral:SRP_RNA from 1 species
GCUGAGCCAAGUAACAUAGGCUUGUAACCCGAGUGGGAGCUCUAAGGUGAUGGAACGUUGAUUCAGCCUAGAAGGUUGGGUUCGGAUCAGCUUGAUUCUGGCUCGCCCGUUUCAAGCCAGGAGUCAAGCCAUGGCAUCCUAGUGAAGACAUGGGUGUCAUGGCUCCUAGAGUGGAGGGUAUAGCGUGAGGCUGGUUUAACAGAGCAGCGAUGACCUCCCUCUCCUGGCAGUGAAAGGAUAACGGGUCGGUGCUGUCUGGAUCCAUAUAGCUUGAUGGGCUGGUCUAAUGGGACCAUCACUUUU